rnacentral:lncRNA from 1 species
GAGGUUGCGCUCCAAGGUUAGCAUAACAAUUAUGGGAAAGCUUUAAAUCUGAUGCGUUUGUUUACAUGAUGAAAGGCGGGCAGGAUCCGAAAGCUCCAAGGCCCCGGCUUUUCAGCAACUAUUUUCUAACUAGUGAACGGCGAGUCAAUUUUAGAUCACAAAGAAAACCAAUUUAUAUCACGGUGUAGGCUAAUUUUGGAGGGAGUUCCACAUUAUCAAUUUUUUUUUUUUCUUAAAUGACCGCUGCUGGAAGAGUGAUUUUUCCUUUUCCUUGGCGUCCUGAAGUUUGGUGUGAGCUAAUUGGUGUUAGUGAUAGGCAGUGAGGUCUUCGUUACUGAGGACAAUGCGAAUCAGGGGAUGAGGUGAACGCAGGUAGAGAGUUUUUAAAGAUACUUGGUAGGGUUUUAGCAUAAAAUGCAUGAAAGCAUCUUUGUUUGCCAGUUAAAGGUUUUAUUUUCUAUUCGGCUUAUCUGUUUUGUUAUUUCAAAAAGGGAUGUGUGGUUUUAAGUACUGCUGAUGGAUAUCAGACACAGACUUCAGAGGAAUGGCAUUAUCCCACUAUAAAACCAUUAAUUUCCAGGUAUCGACAGUGAGAACUGGGCGAAGCACAUGAGAUGUCUAAGACUUGCCAGGAAAAAGACCAUGAAGGACCUGCCUGUGGUCAAGAAAGACAUCUCACUUCCUCUUUCCCUCUCUCCCUCCCUUCCUCCCUUCCACUUCCUGUCUAGGAGACUUUUUCCAAACUUUCUUCCCGGGGCCAUCCUCUCACCUGUCAUACAACGAAAAGUGAAUUCUUGUUACCGGAAAGGGGCUCAAUCCAGACCCCAAGAGAAGGUUCUUGGAUCUCACACAAGAAAGUAUUCCAGUAUGGGUACAGUUGAGCUGAAAUGCCUGUUCUAACAAAGAGAGCCUGGAUGACACUGUAAGCGGUUGGUGUCCCAGUGCCAUCUGGCACAUAAUAGCAAACACAGAUCCACUACCAUAUGGUGAAACGCCAGUAGAACGAAGCAGUGGUUUCAUUUCAUCAUAAUGUGCUAACACAUGGGAGUAAAGAUGAGGCUGACAUGAUGGAAAAUGUCUUCGUAUUGGUGAGUUCAAUACUGGAAAAUACGUACUCCAAAUCAUGGGGAUAGCCUUGGGAACAUUUGAAGACUUUCUUUGGUGUGCGUAGAGUAAGGUCAUCUUGGCUUUGUAUUUGUUAUUUUGGUUGGUGGUUGUAGUAGGUUUCUAUCGCUGUGAUACAAAUGACCACAAAUUUAGUGGCUUCUAACAGCACCUGUUGUUUCUGUUGGUCAGAAGUCUAGAUGCAAUGUGGCUCAGCUGGUUUCUCUGCUUAGGGUUGCACCAGAGUAAAAUCAAGAUGGCAGAGCUGCAGUCUUUUCUGGAGGCACUGGGGAAGAAUCCACACCCAGGUUCAUUCAGGUGGUUGGCAGAAUUUGGGUUCUUGUGGUUGUGAGAUCCUGGCCCCUGUUUUCUUGCUGGCUGUAGUCCAGGGGCAGCCCUCAGCUCCCAGAGAUCUCCCUGCCGCCCUUGCAUGUUGUCCCCUAUAUCUUAGAAUCAGCAAUGGAUGUGGUGUCAAAUCCUGCUCAAACUUGGUGCCUCUCUGACCUUCCUUUCUGUUGUAUCUCUCGACUCUAGCCAGGGCAAGAUUCUUUUAAAUGCUCAUGUGAUUAGAUGGGGCCAACCCAGGCAAUUCAGGACAAUCUCCCUAUUUUAAGAUUCUUAACCUUAAUUAUACCUGCAAAAGCCCUUUUGCUGUGUAGGGUAACGUAUCAGCAUGUUCCAGGCAUUAGGGCUGAACAUCUUUGGAGGGAGUGGGCAUUAUUUUGCCAACCACAGCGACAAUCAGGAUUAAUAGUUUCUUAUUCACUAUAUAUUAUUAGUAAUAGCUUUUGAUUAACUGCAUUAUUAUUAUUAUUA